AUUCUUUUUUGUAGCUCAUAAAUGUGAUGACUGAAUUUUCAUGUUGCUGUGAGAGAUAGGCUUCUUUCAAACCUUCUUAUGACAUCAGAACAUGACUUGCCUGCCA